rnacentral:rRNA from 1 species
UGGGGAAUAUUGCACAAUGGGCGCAAGCCUGAUGCAGCCAUGCCGCGUGUGUGAAGAAGGCCUUCGGGUUGUAAAGCACUUUCAGCGGGGAGGAAGGCGAUAAGGUUAAUAACCUCAUCGAUUGACGUUACCCGCAGAAGAAGCACCGGCUAACUCCGUGCCAGCAGCCGCGGUAAUACGGAGGGUGCAAGCGUUAAUCGGAAUUACUGGGCGUAAAGCGCACGCAGGCGGUCUGUCAAGUCGGAUGUGAAAUCCCCGGGCUCAACCUGGGAACUGCAUUCGAAACUGGCAGGCUAGAGUCUUGUAGAGGGGGGUAGAAUUCCAGGUGUAGCGGUGAAAUGCGUAGAGAUGUGGAGGAAUACCGGUGGCGAAGGCGGCCCCCUGGACAAAGACUGACGCUCAGGUGCGAAAGCGUGGGGAGCAAACAGG